UGGGGAAUUUUGCACAAUGGGGGAAACCCUGAUGCAGCGACGCCGCGUGAUUUAGAAGGCCUUCGGGUUGUAAAAAUCUUUUGUAUGGGAAGAAAAUGACAGUACCAUACGAAUAAGGACCGGCUAAUUACGUGCCAGCAGCCGCGGUAAUACGUAAGGUCCGAGCGUUGUCCGGAAUCAUUGGGCGUAAAGGGUACGUAGGAGGAUAAGCAAGUUAGAAGUGAAAUCCUAUAGCUCAACUAUAGUAAGCUUUUAAAACUGCUCAUCUUGAGGUAUGGAAGGGAAAGUGGAAUUCCUAGUGUAGCGGUGAAAUGCGCAGAUAUUAGGAGGAAUACCGGUGGCGAAGGCGACUUUCUGGACUUUUACUGACGCUCAGGUACGAAAGCGUGGGGAGCAAACAGG
rnacentral:rRNA from 1 species